CAUCUGGAGACUGUAAGCUGACCUCAUCAGGAGGUCAAGCUCUUCAAAAAGCCGACUUCAUUAGAAGGGCUCAUAAGAAGGCUGAGCUCAUUAAAAGAUUGACCUCGUCAGAAGGCCAACAUCAUCAGAUGAUCAAGAUCAUCAAUAAAAAUUUGAUUUUCAGAUCAGUAAGUCCCGAAGGGCCAAUAUGGAGAUAAGAUCUUUGGAUCAACAAAAGUCUGAUCUUUGGAUUGAUAGAACCCCGAAGGGCAUGGAGAUAAGAUCUUCAGACUAACAAAAAUCCAAUCUCU
rnacentral:lncRNA from 1 species